rnacentral:rRNA from 1 species
AUUGAACGCUGGCGGCAGGCCUAACACAUGCAAGUCGAACGAGUGGCGGACGGGUGAGUAAUGUCUGGGACACUGCCUGAUGGAGGGGGAUAACUACUGGAAACGGUAGCUAAUACCGCAUACCAUCGGAUGUGCCCAGCUGGGAUUCGCUAGUAGGUGGGGUAAAGGCUCACCUAGGCGACGAGCCCUAGCUGGGCUGAGAGGAUGCCCAGCCACACUGGAAGUGAGAGACGGUCCAGCCUCCUACGUGAGGCAGGAGUGGGGAAUAAUGCACAAUGGACGCAAGACUGAUGCAGCCAGGCCGCGUGUAUGAAGAAGGCCUUCGGGUUGUAAAGUACUUUCAGCGAGGAGGCGUUACCCGCAGAAGAAGCACCGGCUAACUCCGUGCCAGCAGCCGCGGUAAUAC